rnacentral:rRNA from 1 species
GACGAACGCUGGCGGCGUGCUUAACACAUGCAAGUCGAACGGCAAGGCCCUGCUUUUGUGGGGUGCUCGAGUGGCGAACGGGUGAGUAACACGUGAGUAACCUGCCCUUGACUUUGGGAUAACUUCAGGAAACUGGGGCUAAUACCGGAUAGGAGCUCCUGCUGCAUGGUGGGGGUUGGAAAGUUUCGGCGGUUGGGGAUGGACUCGCGGCUUAUCAGCUUGUUGGUGGGGUAGUGGCUUACCAAGGAUUUGACGGGUAGCCGGCCUGAGAGGGUGACCGGCCACAUUGGGACUGAGAUACGGCCCAGACUCCUACGGGAGGCAGCAGUGGGGAAUAUUGCACAAUGGGCGGAAGCCUGAGGCAGCAACGCCGCGUGCGGGAUGACGGCCUUCGGGUUGUAAACCGCUUUCGCCUGUGACGAAGCGUGAGUGACGGUAAUGGGUAAAGAAGCACCGGCUAACUACGUG